UGCAUGUCUGAGUACUUGCCGUAUUAAGGCGAAACCGCGAAUGGCUCAUUAAAUCAGUUAUGGUUCCUUGGAUCGUACCUCACUACUUGGAUAACUGUGGCAAUUCUAGAGCUAAUACAUGCAGCAGAGCUCCGACCUUCGGGGACGAGCGCUUUUAUUAGACCAAAACCAAUCGGACCUCCGGUCCGUCCUCCGUGGUGACUCUGUAUAACUUUGGGCUGAUCGCACGGGCCCGUCCCGGCGACGUAUCUUUCAAGUGUCUGCCUUAUCAACUUUCGAUGGUAGGUUACGCGCCUACCAUGGUCGUAACGGGUAACGGGGAAUCAGGGUUCGAUUCCGGAGAGGGAGCCUGAGAAACGGCUACCACAUCCAAGGAAGGCAGCAGGCGCGCAAAUUACCCACUCCCGGCACGGGGAGGUAGUGACGAAAAAUAACAAUACGGGACUCUUUAGAGACCCCGUAAUUGGAAUGAGUACACUCUAAAUCCUUUAACGAGGAUCCAUUGGAGGGCAAGCCUGGUGCCAGCAGCUGCGGUAAUUCCAGCUCCAAUAGCGUAUAUUAAAGUUGUUGCGGUUAAAAAGCUCGUAGUUGGAUCUCAGUUCCAGAGGGGUGGUCCUCCUAACGGUGGUCACUGCCCGUUCUGAACAGCCAGCCGGUUUCUCUCGAUGAUCUUCACCGGUUGUCUUGGGCGACCGGCAAGUUUACUUUGAAAAAAUUAGAGUGCUCAAAGCAGGCGCGACGCCUGUAUAAUGGUGCAUGGAAUAAUAGAAUAGGACCUCGUUUCUAUUUUGUUGGUUUUCGGAACGCGAGGUAAUGAUUAAAAGGGACAGACGGGGGCAUUCGUACUGCGACGCUAGAGGUGAAAUUCUUGGACCGUCGCAAGACGAACUACUGCGAAAGCAUUUGCCAAGAAUGUUUCCAUUAAUCAAGAACGAAAGUUAGAGGUUCGAAGGCGAUCAGAUACCGCCCUAGUUCUAACCAUAAACGAUGCCAGCCAGCGAUCCGGCUGUGUUCUUCGAAUGACACGCCGGGCAGCUUCCGGGAAACCAAAGCUUUUGGGUUCCGGGGGAAGUAUGGUUGCAAAGCUGAAACUUAAAGGAAUUGACGGAAGGGCACACCCGGAGUGGGAUCUGCGGCUUAAUUUGACUCAACACGGGAAAUCUUACCCGGCCCGGACACAGGAAGGAUUGACAGAUUGAGAGCUCUUUCUUGAUUCUGUGGGUGGUGGUGCAUGGCCGUUCUUAGUUGGUGGAGUCGAUUGUCUGGUUAAUUCCGAU
rnacentral:rRNA from 1 species